rnacentral:rRNA from 1 species
CACGUAGGGCGCAAGCGUUGUCCGGAAUUAUUGGGCGUAAAGAGCUCGUAGGCGGUCUGUUACGUCUGCUGUGAAAACCCGGGGCUUAACCCUGGGCUUGCAGUGGAUACGGGCAGACUAGAGGCAGGUAGGGGAGAAUGGAAUUCCCGGUGUAGCGGUGGAAUGCGCAGAUAUCAGGAGGAACACCGAUGGCGAAGGCAGGUCACUGGGCCGCAACUGACGCUGAGGAGCGAAAGCAUGGGGAGCGAACAGG